GACUGAACUAUGUCUGAUAGCUGUCUGAAUCUCUGCCCUCAGGAAGUUACUACAAAGAUCUCUGCCAUGUGUCGGGACCGAGGCUGAUUCCAGGAAGGCAAAAAAGCCUGAUUGGCUUUUAAUGAGGAUCUUGAACGGUACGCUAGCCAUUCCUCGAGAGAAACCCAAGGCGGACACUCACAAGACGGCCACAGUUUUCCUACUGCCUGCUGCCAAGUGUCCUGAGGGCCCAGCUAUUGGGAUAAGAUGUUGCAGAAUUUUGAUGUAUUUAUUUAUUAUUAUUAUUUAAAAUUUAUAUAUAAUAUACAGCUCAUACAUAUUGUAUAUAAAUUCUAAAAUUAUAUGUAUGUAUAAAAACCUCUGAGAUUUCAGAUUUUCUGUAGUGUCCGAGGGCUAGAAAAUGUGGCAGUGGGGGAAGGUAGUGGUGGAAGGAUGGGUGAGAGAGAGAGGAGAGAGAGGAAAGGAGUGGAGAGAAGCCCAGAGGGCUGGGGGUGGGAGGAAAGAGAAAGGAAAGGGCAAUGAGGGAAAAGGUGCUGGAAAGAGCACAGGCUUUACAAUCAGACAACUAGCUUGUUACUCUGUGACCUUGGGAAAGUUACGUAAACACUCCAGGUCAUUAAUAUUUGUUUUCCAUGUUCUAUGUUGGGUAUGUACAAUAUCUGGCAUAUACAAGGUGCUCAACUGUGUAAGCAAUGUCAUUCCACAUGCACAUAUAGGUAAUAAAAGGAAAUCAAAUAAAUUUGCCAGUCCAGUUUUCUUAUCUUUAAUAAAGGCUUAUGUGAACCGAUACAGAUGGGCACAAUCGCAAGACAUUCUGUGAGCAUGGCUUCUAUCUUUGAGCAAGUAGGGUUCUGAAUACCAAACUCCAGGAUUUGACCAACUUAUUCAUCAGUCUCAGGCAAUGCCAGAAUACGGCAGGCUUCCUCAGGUGGAGGGAGAUGCCCGCUGUGGGUGGCUUCUAAGAAGAGGAACAGAAGCAGGAGCUAGGCCCUGCAUGAUUUCUUUCUCCUCCUAAACUCUCCCCGCCCCGAGGGAAGUCAGUUCACCUCCCCAGGGGAGGGAUGGGUCAGGAAGCUGAAGAGGCCAGGUGUGUUAUGCUGAUGACAUCCUUCCACCUGGACAAGGUCAAUCGGAAGGAGCUGGGGCACGAGCGUCCCACCAUCCAGCCAGUUCCCAAAGUCAGCAGCGGGACAUUUGCAGAACUAGGAGAAUUAAUGGGCCUCUAGAACUGGCCCAUUUCAAUACUUUGAACAACUCUCUGAAUAAAAAAUUGUAUCAGUUUAUACAUUUUACUGAUAUAAAGGGUGUGUAGCACACGACUUAUAAACAAUAAUAAAAUAUACAAUACUCUUUAUCUUAAAUUCCAUAUAGCCAGCUGAUUCUCACUGAAUGCUUUCACUCAUUUUUGCUGAACUCUUAUAUCCAUAGCCAGCCUAUGGUUGCAGUUCAACCAUGAUUUGAUAAGUGGAGUAAUUUCCACCAUCCAGAUAACAAUAGAUAUAAGUAACUCAUAAGUGUAGAAAAUAUUAAAAUUUAGUAAGAUUAUGAAAAAGUGAUGAGUUUUGAGUAUUUAUGGCCUUUGUUUUUAAUGUAAGUUAAUUUUGUCUACACAUUACUAAAUUUUAAUAAUGACAGUGUUAAUAGUCCAACUUGUAAAAAGCCUACAAAUUUAUCAGUUGGCACACCAUCCAGGAAUAUCCCACAGUUCUAAUUAUGUUUUUUUACAGGUGUGGCAAAUUACAGUUUAAUCCUCCUUUGAGGAGAUAUUUGGUUACUACACUUAGGGAGGGGUGGGCUGGCUGCAGGGAUGUUCAGGCAGGAAGAAUGGCACCCACCAGGGGGCAGUGUGAUUCCAAGUGGUCCCUUACAUAGAGAGCCAGAGCCCUUCCUGCCCUUACUAGAGGAAGAAGGAUGUCACGAGUCCGGGAGACUCAGGGGGCUGUCUUCUGGGUGCUGACCAGGGUUCAGUUCAGUUCAGUCACUCAGUCGUGUCUGACUCUUUGUAGCCCCAUGGACUGCAGCACGCCAGGCUUCCCUGUUCAUCACUAACUCCUGGAGCUUGCUCGAACUCAUCAUGUCCAUCAAGUUGGUGAUGCCAUCCAACCAUCUCAUCCUCUGUCAUCCCCUUUUUGUUGACCAGGGUAGCAAUCAGGAAACCAAAACAGAAGUCCUGAGGUGAUAAGAGAAGGAGUUGAUGCUGAGAGCUCAGCUUCUCUGUACUUCUGUGCCGAAUCUCAGAGACAGAGGUUUGGGUUAAGUAGAAAAGAAUAACUUUAUUGCUUUGCCAGGUCAAGGGGGACACAGCAAGCUAAUGCCCUCAAAACUACAUGUCCCAACUUGGGGAAAUAGACAUUUUAUAGUAAUUGUUCAAAGAGGGUGUGAUCAGCUCAUAGACAUUCUUCUGAUGGGUUAGUGGUGAGGUAAGUGGGAGUCAGGGUCAAACUUCAGGUCGAACUGGUCAGGGGUCUACAGGCUUGUGGGCAGCAUACUAUUAACUCCUCUCACCUGGAGGAGUUUUAGUAUAUACGUAGAAAAUCUCAAAGAUAUCGUCUUGUGUGUCUGUUGAUGGAGAAAUAGGACCUUGCCCCAAGGCUGCUCUUGACUAUUUCACCCUGGUCUCACAUCCCCUCCUUUCCAUAAUUAACAACUGCUUGAAUCUGCCUGUGGGAACUCAGGGAAGGCUGUUUCCUACAAUCAAAUAAAUGAAGAACACAGAAAAGCCUUGUGCCCAGGAGCCCACCAAGCCCUGCGCUGUGUCAGAGUGAGAGGAGAAGCCUUCUACCCCUUGCAUCCAUCUGGCGACAGGGCAACAAGGCCCC
ensembl:lncRNA